UACGUAGGGUGCAAGCGUUAAUCGGAAUUACUGGGCGUAAAGCGUGCGCAGGCGGUGCUGUAAGUCAGGUGUGAAAUCCCCGGGCUUAACCUGGGAAGUGCAUUUGUGACUGCAUUGCUGGAGUGCGGCAGAGGGGGAUGGAAUUCCGCGUGUAGCAGUGAAAUGCGUAGAUAUGCGGAGGAACACCGAUGGCGAAGGCAAUCCCCUGGGCCUGCACUGACGCUCAUGCACGAAAGCGUGGGGAGCAAACAGG
rnacentral:rRNA from 1 species